rnacentral:tRNA from 1 species
GGGGUUGUAGCUCAGUGGGAAAGUGUUUGCCUUGCAUGCACAAGGCCCUGAGUUCAAUCCCCAGUACCACCA